GGUUAAGUUAGAAAGGGCGCACGGUGGAUGCCUUGGCACUAGGAGCCGAAGAAGGACGGGACUAACACCGAUAUGCUUUGGGGAGCUGUACGUAAGCGUUGAUCCAGAGAUUUCCGAAUGGGGGAACCCACUAUCUUUAGUCGGAUAGUAUCCUUACGUGAAUACAUAGCGUGAGGAAGGCAGACCCAGGGAACUGAAACAUCUAAGUACCUGGAGGAAGAGAAAGAAAAAUCGAUUUCCUGAGUAGCGGCGAGCGAAACGGAAAGAGCCCAAACCAAGAAGCUUGCUUCUUGGGGUUGUAGGACACUCUAUACGGAGUUACAAAAGAAAGUUAUAAAUGAAGCGGUCUGGAAAGGCCCGCCAAAGACGGUAACAGCCCGGUAGUUGAAAUGGCUUUCCCUCCAGAGUGGAUCCUGAGUACGGCGGAACACGUGAAAUUCCGUCGGAAUCCGGGAGGACCAUCUCCCAAGGCUAAAUACUCCCUAGUGACCGAUAGUGAACCAGUACCGUGAGGGAAAGGUGAAAAGCACCCCGGAAGGGGAGUGAAACAGUUCCUGAAACCGUGUGCCUACAAGUAGUUAGAGCCCGUUAAUGGGUGAUAGCGUGCCUUUUGUAGAAUGAACCGGCGAGUUACGAUUUGUUGCAAGGUUAAGCGGAAAAAGCGGAGCCGUAGCGAAAGCGAGUCUGAAUAGGGCGCAUAAGUAACAGGUCGUAGACCCGAAACCAGGUGAUCUACCCAUGUCCAGGAUGAAGGUAAGGUAAUACUUACUGGAGGUCCGAACCCACGCACGUUGAAAAGUGCGGGGAUGAGGUGUGGGUAGCGGAGAAAUUCCAAUCGAACUUGGAGAUAGCUGGUUCUCUCCGAAAUAGCUUUAGGGCUAGCCUCGAGGUAAAGAGUCAU
rnacentral:rRNA from 1 species